GAGCGGUCGUAGCAAUACGGCAGCGGCAGACGGGAGAGUACACGUGGGAACGUGCCCUUUGGUUCGGAACAACCCAGGGAAACUUGGGCUAAUACCGGAUACGCCCUAACGGGGAAAGAUUUAUCGCCGAAGGAUCGGCCCGCGUCUGAUUAGCUAGUUGGUGGGGUAAUGGCCCACCAAGGCGACGAUCAGUAGCUGGUCUGAGAGGAUGAUCAGCCUCACUGGGACUGAGACACGGCCCAUACUCCUACGGGAGGCAGCAGUGGGGAAUAUUGGACAAUGGGCGCAAGCCUGAUCCAGCCAUGCCGCGUGGGUGAUGAACGCCCUACGGUUGUAAAGCCCUUUCAGGAGGGACGAACCUACUCGGGUGAAUAUCCCAGACGGUGACGGUACCUCCAUAAGAUGCCCCGGCUAAGUACGUGCCAGCAGCCGCUGUAAU
rnacentral:rRNA from 1 species